AACGAACGCUGGCGGCGUACUUAACACAUGCAAGUCGGACGAGAAAGGAGGCUUCGGCCUCCGAGUAUAGUGGCGUACGGGUGCGUAACACGUGAGUAAUCUGCCCCGAACUCUGGGAUAACUCUCCGAAAGGAGGGCUAAUACUGGAUAGGGUCCCCGAGGUAUAGGCUGCGGGGGGAAAGUGGGCCUCUGGUACAUGCUCACGGUUUGGGAUGAGCUUGCGGCCCAUUAGCUUGUUGGUAAGGUAACGGCUUACCAAGGCGACGAUGGGUAGCUGGUCUGAGAGGAUGAUCAGCCACACUGGCACUGAGACACGGGCCAGACUCCUACGGGUGGCAG
rnacentral:rRNA from 1 species